rnacentral:lncRNA from 1 species
GAAAAUCUUCUAGUAUUAAAAAUCCUCGAACAUAGAAAUAUGUUUUGGUGAUAUCUUGACAAUCAUUAUUCUGAAUUGCAGAAACUUAGUAUCCUUGGAAAGUAGUCGAUGAACUCUACAGCUUUCAUGUGGGUGCCACAACCAAAUUAUGAACCCAAUUAUUCCUAGAAUUUAAAAUAAGCUUUUGAUCUACUACUGAAUAUGUGGUCAACGGAGAUCUAUCCUUGCAGCAAAAAGGAAUCAAACAGCCGUGAAUCCAAUGAAAGAAGUCCUCUUUCUUCUCUUCUCUUCUCUUCUCCUUUCCUCCUUGUACAACUCCCAAUCUCCUACAGUCGGGCAUAAACUGUGUUUGCAAAAUGUAAACAUACGGGCAGGGCCACACAAGCCGACUUCCAAUUGAUAUAUACUGAAGCCGACUUCAGGUUCACGAACACGCUGGAUAGAUUUAACUGUAGUACAAAAAAAAGAGACACAAAUGCCAGGCAUAAACUGCGUUUGCAAAAUGUAAACAUACAGGCAGAGCCACACAAGCCGACUUCCAAUUGAUAUAUACUGAAGCCUCAUAAGCUGACUUCCAAUUGAUAUAUACUGAAGCCGACUUCAGGUUCACGAACACGCUGGAUAGGUUUAACUGCGGUACAAAAAAAAAAUGAGACACAAAUGUCAGGCAUAAACUGCGUUCGCAAAAUGUAAACAUACAGGCAGAGCCACACAAGCCGACUUCCAAUUGAUAUAUACUGAAGCCUCAUAAGCUGACUUCCAAUUGAUAUAUACUGAAGCCGACUUCUGGUUCACGAACACACUGGAUAGGUUUAACUCCAGUACAAAAAACUGCAAACCGGAUAAAUGUCGAUAUUUUAAAAGAGCUUGUGUACUGUGCUGGAUAGGUUUAGGUCCAUCAAAAUUUAAAUACUCUCAUAUUGCUCUAGGGUGUAAUUUAUUAGCAUUCUAUUUUGAAAUUUGAUGCAUCUUCAUUGAACCAUCGAUGAAUAUUUUCACCUAACAUCAGGUCUAUUUUGAAAUAGCCAUGAAGAUUUUCAUCACAUGGUCACUCAUGGACCAUCUUUGCCUUCAGAUAUGUGCAGGGCUAUAACAGCAGGUGGGAAGAUGAGCAGCUAACUAUAUAAUGGCUGCUGAAAAACAUGACAGUACCAAAUCGAAAAGUGACACUCUGAUAACUAUAUGAUGCCAGCUGGUAAGAUUGUACAUGAUGCCAGCUGGUAAGAUUGUACAUGAUGCCAGCCAGUAAGAUUGUACAUGACUUCACGGGGCUCGGAGGGCGGAAGCCAUGGCCGAUUGUUCACGUGUUUGCAGAGGAGUUUGUUGUGGUUUUCAUCCGAAGAAGCGACGGGGAGGGAAAAACGGACAUGUAUAUGGCAGUAAGGGUUUUUAUACUGCAACCAUGCCGGCCUGACGAGACGAGCCCCGCGGAGGGCUCGGGAGGCUAGGAGCUCCACGUACUCCUCGAUGCUGCUAGCGAAGUAGGUCGAGCCGGCAGCGUCAAACAGCUGGGUCACCCAAGUCGGUGCUCCAAUCACCGUCGGUGAGCUGCAUUUUCAUACACCUGUCAUCGUCGGCAUGGCCCACAAGCAAGUUUGCUGACAAUAACUGGAUAUUGUGGGAGCAACAUACAUCUAUCCCCUAUAAUUAUUUACCUCUCUUGUAGACUAUCUGAAUCAUUUAUGCGGAAGCUACAAAUGUUCGUGCAGACUAGCGAUCAUCUUCAUGAGUCGACUCCAAAAAGCAUCCUAAAGCUAACAGUUGGGUCGAUCGUAUAAUACCUGAAAUGUCAUUACAAGAAAUUCAGUGAACUUCAACUAAAAGCUCGACGGCAAGACAAUUAGCUAAAGUAAUUCACAUGCAACAUCCAAGGUAAAUCGGUGGCCUCAAAAGUUGGUUUUCCUGUGUUAUAACAAAAUAUGGCAUUGGCACUUAAAUAUCUACAUAAAAGUUCAGAAGUUGCUUUCCACGCUUAUCAUAAGAAUCCUUUAUACAAGACUUCAUAGGCCUUAUCAAACUUAGUUCAAAAGCAAACAAAUGAAGUGUCCAAUUGUUGCUACCUAGUAACCCUUUAAAUCCCACGAAGGAAAUAGGUACAGCCAUGAAAUAUUUCUUUCUUUACUUGAUCAUUUUUAAACAGCUUGGUUUAUAACUGGAAACCAUUGCGUGGGCAGCUGCUUUUCCAUCUCCUAAAGCAUCGACUCUACAAAUAUAACACAUUUUGUCACCGGAAACUCCUGAACCAUAAGGUACAGGGGUGGAGCACACGACGCAAUAGAGCAGAAGAGAAUGAUGUACCUGAAACUUAAAGGCCACAUUAAGGCAUCAUUCAGGGCCGGACACUUUUCCCACAGUAAUGGAACUUGCUGUUCUACUUUCAUAUUCUAACCUUAAAAAAUAUCCUGAAUAUCCAUGUAAAGGUGUUGGCACUUCGGGGAGUCCAUUGUUGCAGAAGUGAAGCACUGCAACUACAGUUUCCCCCCAUCAUCUAAUGUAAUAUAUUUGAUGUCCGUUCGCUGAAUUUCAGGAUGAACGAAAAUGAAUUACUCUAAAUGAUCUUCAAUGUCAAAAAAAAGAGAUAGUUAAGCAUAUGAGGAAUACAUCACUAAAUAAAAGGAGUAAUUGUAGAAUUAAUUGGGAAAAACAAUAGCAACAGAGAGCAUAUUUUGGGUCUGAGAUCAGGAAGCCAGGUAUUUUAAUGGUUCAGUACAGACCAUAUUGUCAAUCAACAAUGCAAAUCAAGCACGAGUAUAUUUAUUUAUUAGAUAAGCACUUCCUUACAGGCCCAAUGUUAUUAGAAGUUAAGUAACUGGACAGGGCAAACAUGAUCCAUUAUACGAAGCUAGCUUUAUGUUAGACGUAAAUGCUCUUCAUUCAACUUGCUAUGAGAAAAAUUCACAACCAUGGAAACGCUCCAUCCUUCAUGUUAGAUUAACCGAGGAUUCCCAUGAAACGCUUAAUUUGCCUACCAAUUAAUCAACACCUUCCUCUGCCAUAUUCCUAAGAUGGUGUAAGCAGGACACAUGCUUCAACUCCACCAAUUCGGCAUGCCCCAUUGUAUGUUUUUUUCUCACCUCACCAGGUCAUCUUAUUUUGUCAAUUGCACCAAGCAAACCAAUUCAGCAGGCCCCAAAAGAAGAGGUCACGAAAAGACAAAAGGGAGUGAGAAAUUUUACCUGCACAGACCAAGAGGCUCACCGGUCACCCUCCAUCCACGCCAGCACAGACCAAAAGGGAGUGAGAACAACCUUUAUUCCUCCUUCAUGCCAUUCAAAGGGAACCAUAUUGAUCAGCAAAGGGCCAAUUAGUAAGCACUGAAACAGAAUAAAUACUCACCAGGCAAUAAAACACGGAAUUAUCAGUUAUGGUGGUGGGUUUUGUAGCUUCACUAAACAGAGCAUUGUGUUGGUAUGCAUCUGACCUUAUCUUUACAAUAGAACAUGUUCUAGAAAAAUAAUGUAAUCUUCAUGCAACU